AGUGAACGCUGGCGGUAGGCCUAACACAUGCAAGUCGAACGGCAGCACAGUAAGAGCCUGCUCUUACGGGUGGCGAGUGGCGGACGGGUGAGGAAUACAUCGGAAUCUACUUUUUCGGGGGGGAUAACGUAGGGAAACUUACGCUAAUACCGCAUACGAUCUACGGGUGAAAGCAGGGGAUCUUCGGACCUUGCGCGAUUGAAUGAGCCGAUGUCGGAUUAGCUAGUUGGCGGGGUAAAGGCCCACCAAGGCGACGAUCCGUAGCUGGUCUGAGAGGAUGAUCAGCCACACUGGAACUGAGACACGGUCCAGACUCCUACGGGAGGCAGCAGUGGGGAAUAUUGGACAAUGGGCGCAAGCCUGAUCCAGCCAUACCGCGUGGGUGAAGAAGGCCUUCGGGUUGUAAAGCCCUUUUGUUGGGAAAGAAAAGCAGCAGGUUAAUACCCCGCUGUUCUGACGGUACCCAAAGAAUAAGCACCGGCUAACUUCGUG
rnacentral:rRNA from 1 species